GUGGGGAAUAUUGCACAAUGGGCGCAAGCCUGAUGCAGCAACGCCGCGUGAAGGAUGAAGGCCUUCGGGUUGUAAACUUCUGUCCUAGGGGAAGAAACAAAUGACAUUACCCUUGGAGGAAGCCCCGGCUAACUACGUGCCAGCAGCCGCGGUAAUACGUAGGGGGCGAGCGUUAUCCGGAAUUAUUGGGCGUAAAGAGUGCGUAGGUGGCACCUUAAGCGCAGGGUUUAAGGCAAUGGCUCAACCAUUGUUCGCCUUGCGAACUGGGGUGCUUGAGUGCAGGAGGGGAAAGUGGAAUUCCUAGUGUAGCGGUGAAAUGCGUAGAUAUUAGGAGGAACACCAGUGGCGAAGGCGACUUUCUGGACUGUUACUGACACUGAGGCACGAAAGCGUGGGGAGCAAACAGGAUUAGAAACCCUUGUAGUCCU
rnacentral:rRNA from 1 species